rnacentral:rRNA from 1 species
AGAGUUUGAUCCUGGCUCAGAACGAACGCUGGCGGCGCGUUUAAGCAUGCAAGUCGAGCGGCAAGGGCCUUCGGGCCCCUAGAGCGGCGGACGGGUGAGUAACACGUGGACAAUCUGCCCCCCGGCCCGGGAUAGCCCAGGGAAACCUGGAUUAAUACCGGAUGAGACGGGACCCGCGAUGGCGGGAUCCGGGAAAGGCGCUGCGGCGCCGCCGGGGGAUGAGUCUGCGUCCCAUUAGCUAGACGGCGGGGUAACGGCCCACCGUGGCGACGAUGGGUAGCCGGCCUGAGAGGGUGGACGGCCACAUUGGAACUGAGACACGGUCCAGACUCCUACGGGAGGCAGCAGCUAAGAAUCUUCCGCAAUGGGCGAAAGCCUGACGGAAGCGACGCCGCGUGAACGAAGAAGGCCGUGAGGUUGUAAAGUUCUUUUCGGGAGGGGGAACAACCGUGGCAGGGAAUGGCCGCGGGAUGACGUGAAUCCCGGAAUAAGCCCCGGCUAACUACGUGCCAGCCGCCGC